rnacentral:rRNA from 1 species
GAUGAACGCUAGCGAUAGGCCUAACACAUGCAAGUCGAGGGGCAGCACAAGGUAGCUUGCUAUCUGGGUGGCGACCGGCGCACGGGUGCGUAACGCGUAUGCAGCUUGCCCUAUACAGGAGGAUAACCCGUCGAAAGACGGACUAAUACCGCGUAUGCUCACAACUUUGCAUCCAGUGGUGAGGCAAGCAAUUCGGUAUAGGAUAGGCAUGCGUCCUAUUAGCUUGUUGGUGAGGUAACGGCCCACCAAGGCAACGAUGGGUAGGUGAACUGAGAGGUUUAUCCCCAGGACUGGUACUGAGGCACGGACCAGACUGGUAGGGGAGGCAGCGGAAAGGAAGAUUAGGCGAGGGGCGCGAGCCUGAACCAGCCGAGUCGGGUGAAGGAGGCCUGUCUUAGGGAUGGUAAUCUGCUUUGAUACAGGAAUAACAGGAGACACGUGUGACGCCCUGAAGGUACCGAAUGAAUAAGCAUCGGCUAACUCCGUG